UGACUGAGAGUCUUCUCGGGACUGGACCC
rnacentral:piRNA from 1 species